rnacentral:rRNA from 1 species
AAUUGGAAUGAGUACACCUUAAAUCGUUUAACGAGUAUCAAUUGGAGGGCAAGUCUGGUGCCAGCAGCCGCGGUAAUUCCAGCUCCAAUAGCGUAUAUUAAAGUUGCUGCAGUUAAAAGCUCGUAGUUGGAUCUGGGGCUUAGGUCGCUGUCUAUCGUUUCGGCGAUGACGGUGAUGCUCAGCUCUGCUUGCCGGUGACUGUUGCGGUGUUCUUCACUGAGCGCUGUAGCAGCACGGCACGUUUACUUUGAAAAAAUUAGAGUGCUCAAAGCGUGCUUGUCACUUGAAUAAUGUUGCAUGGAAUAAUGGAAUAGGACCUCGGUUCUAUUUUGUUGGUUUUCGGAGCUUGAGGUAAUGAUUAAGAGGGACGAACGGGGGCAUUCGUAUUGCGGUGUUAGAGGUGAAAUUCUUGGAUCGCCGCAAGACGGACUACUGCGAAAGCAUUUGCCAAGAACGCUUUCAUUAAUUAAGAACGAAAGUCAGAGGUUCGAAGACGAUCAGACACCGUCCUAGUUCUGACCAUAAACGAUGCCGACCAGCGAUCCGUAGUGGUUGCUUUAUGGACCCUACGGGCAGCCUCCGGGAAACCAAAGUAUUUGGGUUCCGGGGGAAGUAUGGUUGCAAAGCUGAAACUUAAAGGAAUUGACGGAAGGGCACACCAGGAGUGGAGCCUGCGGCUUAAUUUGACCCAACACGGGAAAACUCACCCGGUCCGGACACCGUAAGGAUUGACAGACUGAUAGCUCUUUCUUGAUUCGGUGUAUGGUGGUGCAUGGCCGUUCUUAGUUAGUGGAGUGAUUUGUCUGUUAAUUCCGAUAACGAACGAGACUCUAGCCUGCUAAGUAGUGUUGCUAUUGUUAUAUGGUUGACACUUCUUAGAGGGACAAGAGGCAUUUAGCCACGCGAAAUUGAGCAAUAACAGGUCUGUGAUGCCCUUAGAUGUCCGGGGCCGCACGCGCGCUACACUGGAGAAGUCAGCGUGUGUUAUCCAAGUCCGAAAGGACUGGGUAAUCCGUUGAACCUUCUUCGUGCUUGGGACUGUGGCUUGGAACUAUUCCACAUGAACGAGGAAUUCCUAGUAAUUGCAAGUCAUAAGCUUGCGUUGAUUACGUCCCUGCCCUUUGUACACACCGCCCGUCGCUACUACCGAUUGAAUGGUUUAGCAAGGUCCUCGGAUCGUGGCCGUAGGGGCGCGCAAGUGUUUCUGCGGUUUGCGAGAAGACGACCAAACUUGAUCAUUUAGA